AUAUUAUGUAACAAGUUCUCUAUCAGUUUGUUAAUAUCCAUAACCAAUACAGGUUUUCAAACACUUACACAGGUUUGUAUUUCAAUGAAAAAAUUCUAGGAAAAACAAAAGGAGGUUGAGCCCAUCUACAUAGGGAGUCGAAAGAAAAAUUAAACUCAAAACUAGAGAAUGAGAAUGCGUCUGAUGAAAAAUAGGAAAUGAACACAUAUAAGGUAAUGUCACAAGGUGGACUUAAAAAGGAUCAAGUAUGUAGGGGAAUGGUAGGAUCAACAUAUCAAAGUUUACUUGGAUCAGAACUGAUAACCGUAUAAAAAGGCAGUAAAAAUUAAAGUCUGCCUGUUCUGAUGACAACUGAUAAAUAUACAGGUCUGCACGUAUACUGGUUGAUGAAAAGGUGAGCAAUCAUUACUUAAUGAUCUUAAGUAAUAAACACUUGGUAUUGCUCAUUGAAAAUUUGUUAAUUGUUUCAAUGCAUAUGAUCUAACGUUUUUGCUUUCUGUAAUAAACACUAUCUAGGAUCUUUAUUUUUUGGGUCAAAAACACUGUUUGGGAUCUUUUUGUCAUCUUUAGACAUUGCUUGAUUUUGUAUUGUCAAAUGAUAUAUAUUUUCAUAAUCAUUGUGUAAUCAUUGUGUCUGUAUAUUAUAUGGAUUUAUUUUUUAUAAUAUUCAGUGUUCUAUUCUUUGUAUUAGAUCUUUUUAUACUUAAAACAACUUUUUUAAAGUGUUAAUUAAAAUGGUUAAUUGAUAGUUAGUGUUU